rnacentral:rRNA from 1 species
CCCAGACUCCUACGGGAGGCAGCAGUGGGGGAUAUUGCACAAUGGGGGGAACCCUGAUGCAGCGACGCCGCGUGGGUGAAGGAGCGUUUCGGCGCGUAAAGCCCUCUCGGCAGGGAAGAAGGAGGACGGUACCUGACUAAGAAGCCCCGGCUAAAUACGUGCCAGCAGCCGCGGUAAUACGUAUGGUGCAAGCGUUAUCCGGAUUUACUGGGCGUAAAGGGGGCGUAGGCGGCCUGCCAAGUCUGAUGUGAAAUACCGGGGCUCAACCCCGGGGCUGCAUUGGAAACUGACAGGCUGGAGUGUCGGAGAGGCAGGCGGAAUUCCUAGUGUAGCGGUGAAAUGCGUAGAUAUUAGGAGGAACACCAGUGGCGAAGGCGGCUUGCUGGACGAUGACUGACGUUGAGGCUCGAAAGCGUGGGGAGCAAACAGGAUUAGAUACCCCUGUAU